AGAUGUACUUCAGAGAGCUGCGCUCUCUUCCACGACUUCAUCAGCGCAAUCAAGAGUCCAGACUACAAGCAGCGGGUUCAGUCCAUUAAAGAUCUGGUCCGACAGCUUCCCGUCUGCAACCACGACACCAUGCAGACUCUCUUCAAGCACCUCAGGAAGGUGAUCGAGCACGGCGAGGAGAACCGUAUGACCACUCAGAGCGUGGCCAUCGUGUACGGCCCCACGCUGUUGCGCCCCGAACAGGAGACGUGGAACAUCGCGGUCCACAUGGUGUACCAGAACCAGAUCGUGGAGCUCAUACUGCUGGAGUACGAGAACAUUUUCGGCAGGUAGAGAGAGACGCUGGAGGACGAGCCUCUUGUUUUUCUCUCUCACUCUCCCAACGCAGAGCUCUUCCUAACCCAGC